ACUCAAAUGAAUAGACGGGGGCCCGCACAAGCGGUGGAGCAUGUGGUUCAAUUCGACGCAACGCGAAGAACCUUACCUGGGCUCGAACGGUCGAGGACAGACGGUGGAAACACUGUCUUCCCGCAAGGGACUUCGAUCGAGGUGCUGCAUGGCUGUCGUCAGCUCGUGUCGUGAGAUGUUGGGUUAAGUCCCGCAACGAGCGCAACCCUUGUCCUGUGUUGCCACUCCGCGAUUACAUCAACGAAGCACUCUCAGGAGACCGCCAGCGAUAAGCUGGAGGAAGGUGGGGAUGAUGUCAAGUCAUCAUGGCCUUUAUGUCCAGGGCUACACACGUGCUACAAUGGACGGUACAAUGCGUCGCAAACCCGCGAGGGGGAGCUAAUCGCAAAAAACCGUUCUCAGUUCGGAUUGCAGGCUGCAACUCGCCUGCAUGAAGCUGGAAUCGCUAGUAAUGGCGCAUCAGCACGGCGCCGUGAAUACGUUCCCGGGCCUUGUACACACCGCCCGU
rnacentral:rRNA from 1 species